UACGUAGGGUGCAAGCGUUAAUCGGAAUUACUGGGCGUAAAGCGUGCGCAGGCGGUGAUGUAAGACAGUUGUGAAAUCCCCGGGCUCAACCUGGGAACUGCAUCUGUGACUGCAUCGCUGGAGUGCGGCAGAGGGGGAUGGAAUUCCGCGUGUAGCAGUGAAAUGCGUAGAUAUGCGGAGGAACACCGAUGGCGAAGGCAAUCCCCUGGGCCUGCACUGACGCUCAUGCACGAAAGCGUGGGAGC
rnacentral:rRNA from 1 species